CCAGACUCCUACGGGAGGCAGCAGUGAGGAAUAUUGGUCAAUGGCCGCAGGGCUGAACCAGCCAAGUCGCGUGAGGGAUGACGGUCCUAUGGAUUGUAAACCUCUUUUGUCAGGGAGCAAAGGGCGCCACGUGUGGCGCUUUGCGAGUACCUGAAGAAAAAGCAUCGGCUAACUCCGUGCCAGCAGCCGCGGUAAUACGGAGGAUGCGAGCGUUAUCCGGAUUUAUUGGGUUUAAAGGGUGCGCAGGCGGAAUGUCAAGUCAGCGGUAAAAUUUCGGGGCUCAACCCCGUCGUGCCGUUGAAACUGGCAGUCUCGAGUUGGAGAGAAGUAUGCGGAAUGCGCGGUGUAGCGGUGAAAUGCAUAGAUAUCGCGCAGAACUCCGAUUGCGAAGGCAGCAUGCCGGCUCCACACUGACGCUGAGGCACGAAAGCGUGGGUAUCGAACAGGAUUAGAUACCCCAGUA
rnacentral:rRNA from 1 species